UAUUUUGUCUGUUUCCAUUACUUUGAAGCAGCACAAAAUUAUUAAAAUAAAAUAAGCUUACAUAAACACACAAUACUUACAUUUAUUAGUUUAUACUUUGAUGAAACCUCUUCGUCAUCACAGCAAGCGUGGCCCAAGGCUGCUUAGCAAUGGCAGACGCAAGGAGAGAGUUACGACACUCGUAGAGACGUCCGUUGGAAGAAUGGAAUGCGGAAGUAACUCGUGGAGAGACCAAUAGUUCCAAACACUGCACUUAAGUCCAUUCAUUUUAAUGUCUCCCAUAUGCAUUUGCUGUAAAGUUGGUGAAAAAACACCAUGUUUGUACCUUUUUACUAGUUGUCGGACUUAUCUUAUAUUCAUGUGUACAUUUGCAAAGUAGAGAAAUUUUACUUCUGAUAAGUCAAAGAAGAUGUGUCAAAUUCAAUAGCUAUUCAUUUGUCAGUAUUGAAUGGAAAGGGAGAUCAGUUCAAAUAUUCAGUGCUAAAAGAAAAUUAAGGAAAUGAAAAAUAACAUUUUUGUAUGAACCUUAGAAAGUCGGAGGUUGGCUAAAGAUCUAAAGAUAAAUUGGGGUUCGCCAGACGACAGCUUAUGAAAUCAAUACAAUGAAUGACAGUGAGAUUUAAUGUCAUCAUGUCAUCUCUACACCUGCUUGUGAAGAUUCUUGUCAUCACCACAUUGUUGAAUGAACAUCUGCGUCUAGAGACAAGACAUGGUAGACUUAUUGUGUAAGAAACAAGAAACUCUUGAGAAAUCAAAUGCAUUUUAAUAAACAAAGCUAUGGUUGGCUAUCAAACUACAAUUUAUUAUCCAUCACAGGUUAUCCUUUAUCAUUUUGCACUUAUUUAAUUUAUUUUUAUUUAAAGAUAUCUGAGAAGAGAAUUUGUUUUGGUUAAAUAGUUAGGAAUUUGACCUCUUUAUAAUUCACAAGACAAUUACUUUUAUAAUAGAGCUAUGAGAAACAGCCUGCUUAAAAUCAGACACUCAUCACACAAAUAGUAUCAUACUUUAUAGAAUGUUUUUAUUUUUGUUCUGUUUUCCUUACAUGUUGCUGCUUUGAAACAAUACAACAUUUUAAACCCCCUGAUGUAACAUGUUAUACUUCAAUUUCUGAAGUAUGUUGUAACAAUGGGGCAAACACAGGGCUUAAAUCCCAAGAGAACAUAACUGUUACAGCUAAACAAACUGACUUGACAUUAUAAGAGAAAGAAUAAAUGUCCUGCCUAUGAAAGCUUAACAAUAAAAAUGAAACAGUUAAAUGGUGUAACAUGUUGUCUGCAUGUUUGUAUUAUAAAUGUCAUUUAAUAUGAACUGUUUUUCAGACAAAUUUACAGUAAGUCACUAUCUUUGCAGUUAAACUAGUUAAAGCUAUAAACAAGAAAAGUUGUAAAGAUUUUUUUCAGAAAAUAUUUCCUGACAAUAUUUUUUUAGUGAUCUUCUGUCUGUGGUUUGUGGUUGGAAAGUAAAUACUCAUUGUGGUUGAUACAAAGCCCUAUAAGAAAGAGUCCAGAGGCUUGAGAGGAUCAGACUGUGAAAGAUUCUUCCUCGUUCAGGUCACAGUUCAUCAUCUAAGAUGCUCCGCAACAUCUUUCUUGUCACCUUGCUCAUAUGCUUCUACUCAGCCAAUGCAAGUAGAGUGAACAUCAGUGCCGACGAGCUUGACCUAAUUAAAAAGCAUGGCGAUGAGCUGAAUAAUAUGAAAAAUGGCCUUUGCUCGAUAUGUAAAACCGUUAUUGGAUGGGUGAAAGAUCACCUCCCUUCUGAUCCAACAGUGGAAGAAAUUAAGGAAGUUUUGAAAAUGGCAUGUGGAGCACUACCCAUUCCCACUUUUUUGUGCGAGUUUAUUUUGGAUAAGAUUGCUGAUUCGAUCAUUUCAGUAAUCCAUGAAACGCCAGAAGCCAUCUGUGCAAAAGUUUCUUUCUGCAGUUAGAAUUCACGAACGGUCAGACAUCUCUACACAAUGCAUCUCAAGAGAUAGAUUGAGCUGGCAGAAAUCAAGACUGAAGUAAAAAAAGGCAAAGCUGCAGGACAUGGAAAUCAAAUGCAAGACACUGAGGAAACUGUACUUGGAAAUGCAGAAACUAGAAAGAGAAGUAAGUGAAUUCAGUUCACAGUGUAACCAUGACUAUAACACAAUGUAUUAAUAAUCUUUUUUCUCUCCAAAAUAAUUGGCUAUAUAUUGUUCUCUGACCAGUCUUCCAUUUAUCUUAUCUGGGAAGAUGGCAGCAUUGAUCCAGUCAAUAUCCAAAGCAACUCUGGGAGCCCUUUUGUUUCUUAGGCUGGCAAUGUUAUGGAGCACUGUGCAGGCAGCAGUCACGUCACAACCCCUGUCUGGGGAGAGUCUCAGGAUGUUAUUUCGAUUCGAGCCCUUGUUCUGGCAUGGACAUGGUUGUAAGCCUGCUGUACUGGGGUUUGGGUGUCUGCAAGGGGAGUCAACAGGAAUGUCUCACAGGCAUAGCCUUUGUCUCCUAGCAGCACAUCAGAGAACUCACCUGAGAAUACAAAAUUUUAUUCUUUAUUCAAGUAGAAUAAAAUUCUACCACACUCAUGAUGUCCAAGGUGCUUAAAAAAAUUAUGAGCUGGUUCUGACCUAGGAGUGAAGCAGACUAAAGAAAAUGUUAAGUCUCGCCUUAUUUAUAACUAACAGUAUAUUUAGCGGAUGAAAAAUUAUCAUAAGCCGACACUAUAUAAUAUUUUGAUAAAGUUAUGGUA